AUACGUAGGGGGCGAGCGUUGUCCGGAAUGAUUGGGCGUAAAGGGCGCGUAGGCGGCCUGUUAAGUCUGGAGUGAAAGUCCUGUUUUCAAGAUGGGAAUUGCUUUGGAUACUGAUGGGCUUGAGUGCAGGAGAGGUUAUCGGAAUUCCCGGUGUAGCGGUGAAAUGCGUAGAGAUCGGGAGGAACACCAGUGGCGAAGGCGGGUAACUGGACUGCAACUGACGCUGAGGCGCGAAAGUGUGGGGAGCAAACAGGAUUAGAUACCCUGGUAGUCCACACUGUAAACGAUGAAUGCUAGGUGUAAGAGGUAUCGACCCCUUCUGUGCCGCAGUCAACACAAUAAGCAUUCCGCCUGGGGAGUACGGCCGCAAGGUUGAAACUCAAAUGAAUUGACGGGG
rnacentral:rRNA from 1 species